CAGUCGCCACGGGAAUACGAAGGGGACGAGCGUUGCUCGGAAUGACUGGGCGUAAAGGGCGCGUAGGUGGUACGGACAGUCAGAUGUGAAAUUCCCGGGCUCAACCUGGGGGCUGCAUUUGAUACGUCCGAACUAGAGUGUGGAAGAGGGUCGUGGAAUUCCCAGUGUAGAGGUGAAAUUCGUAGAUAUUGGGAAGAACACCGGUGGCGAAGGCGGCGACCUGGUCCAUUACUGACGUUGAGGAGCGAAAGCGUGGGGAGCGAACAGGAUUAGAUACCCCGGUAGUCCCUGUCUCUUAUAC
rnacentral:rRNA from 1 species